GCGGCCUAUCAGCUUGUUGGUGAGGUAACGGCUCACCAAGGCUUCGACGGGUAGCUGGUCUGAGAGGACGAUCAGCCACACUGGGACUGAGACACGGCCCAGACUCCUACGGGAGGCAGCAGUUAGGAAUCUUGCACAAUGGGGGAAACCCUGAUGCAGCGACGCCGCGUGCGGGACGAAGGCCCUCGGGUCGUAAACCGCUUUCAGCAGGAACGAAAUUGACGGUACCUGCAGAAGAAGCUCCGGCCAACUACGUGCCAGCAGCCGCGGUAAUACGUAGGGAGCGAGCGUUGUCCGGAUUCAUUGGGCGUAAAGAGCUCGUAGGCGGUUCGGUAAGUCGGGUGUGAAAUCUCCGUGCUCAACACGGAGCGGCCACCUGAUACUGCCGUGACUCGAGUCCGGUAGGGGAGUGUGGAAUUCCCGGUGUAGCGGUGAAAUGCGCAGAUAUCGGGAGGAACACCAGUAGCGAAGGCGGCACUCUGGGCCGUGACUGACGCUGAGGAGCGAAAGCGUGGGUAGCAAACAGGAUUAGAUACCCUGGUAGUCCACGCCGUAAACGUUGGGCACUAGGUGUGGGGCCUUAUCAACGGGUUCCGUGCCGCAGCUAACGCAUUAAGUGCCCCGCCUGGGGAGUACGG
rnacentral:rRNA from 1 species